UUAUUUUUGACCUAAUGAAGACUUUAAAGCUUCUCUAUAAAGGUCAGAGGUGCACAAUCUUUUUAUUUUUAAAAUGACGUGUGUACCUGUGUGAGCAACAACAAAUGUGACAGGAUUUCAGGAAAUUGGUCAAUUCUGGAAAUUGUCCUAUUUAUAGAGUGCAGGAAGGCACAGGUGAAUGUAAAUCCAGCAAUUCAGAAGAGAAACAAAUAAAUACAUGUUCUGCCUCAGAUAUUGUAUAUUAUUCUCCAUAUAUUGCAAAUUGUUCUUUUAUUUAACUGUGUAAUAGAGGAUGACCGGAGUUAAUUGUGCGGUGUACCAUUUGUUUUUGCUGUACAUAUGACAAUAAAUGACUGUUUGAUUUUCAAUAAUUGUUUUUAAUGUCCAGGUGGGGACCCAGUGGCCUGAGGGAACAAUCGAGUGACGCAGCAGUUCCUACUCCCUUACCUAUAUAAAAUGCUCGGUUAUCGCCCACGUGCGAUCUUUAUGACCACUGCCAUGUUGUGCGUGGUUGUAAAAUAUAAAAAAAACAGUAUCUCUUAUUCUUAUAAAGACGCUCGGCACAUCUGGUAGCUGCGCGUCAAGGGGAGGUAGUUUACGGUAAAGCGGCUCCAUUACCAUGUGAUUUCGCCGAUGUUUGUAAACAUGCGUCAGCCACAUGUGAUUCUGGCGAUGACGGAAGGACUGGUCCAGCCGCCCUGACCAACCGGCGGCCGGGGGAGUGUCGGGGGCGGAGCUUCCGCGUUGCGCUAUGGAAAAUCGUCCGGGGGACGCACUGUAGUCGAACGUAACGCACCGAGAUUGCCAACAGCGACCGUGUGCGUCUGUGUGUGAGCGAGGAUGAAACUGGAGCCCUGGCGGAGCGAGGAACGAGGACCCGGGGUCUGACCGGGUCGCCGGCCGGGACACACGGACGAUCCCCCCUUGCGCACGGGGAGGGAGACGCAGCAGGCUCGGGAUAAACACACGGGGAAGUGGCUUCCAGGCGUUCUCUCCUAAAGGCCUCCUCCCCAGGGAACUGGUUUCAGAUGGUGUUUUAGAGUAUGUAAUCCUAUCUAGCACCAUUUGAAAUCGGUGUUCUUGAGCGGGAACAGACUUCAGCAAAGCCGACAGGUGUGCCGAAGGUUUAGGGCUGCACUUUGCUGGCGAUGUUCAACAUCUAUGGUACAUUCAUUCAGUUUAACAGACUGAGCAGACAUAAAAAACAAACAAACAAGAUAUUCACUGAUGACACCAGACAAGAUCGGUUCUCCGUGCAUCAGAUGUCCCAAAGUCCACUGGACCCCCCUCUCACCAAGGCUGACCGUUUUCGUCUGGUGUUCAGAGUUUCCAUCAUGUCUAGCACCAUUUGAAAUCGGUUACAAUGUCGAGGGAAUGUCAACAAAGAUUCGGCCUCGGCGGCUGCACGGUAUAUUUUUCCCCUCAGAGCGCCAGAAGAUGGCAGCAUGGAGCUGCCAAUCCUCGCUCCCAACCAAGGCCACCGAGUUAGUUGGAAACCUUUUGACAGUGGAUGAUGACCCUGACUGGGUACAAAUUCAAAAAAUAAAAUAAAAGAUGUUGUCAAAUCACAA